GGGAGAAGAAGAAUGGCUCCUUUUUUAUUAACGAUUGCUACGAUCGUCUUCUUCCUCCAUCAUUUCCAUUCUUCCAUCAACAGAAGAGAUCGCAGAUAAAAGGCGGGAGCUGAUUUAUCAAUAUGAGUUUUAUCUUCCGCAAGGAGAAAACCCCAGCAGAGCUACUGCUGUAGAAUAAGAGAAUGUUUGAUAGAUCAAUCAGGGACAUUGAGAGGAAGAAGCAAGGGCUGCAAGCAGAGGAGGAAAAGCUCAUCGCUGAGAUGGCAGCUGUAAAAGUCAUGACAAAAGAUCUUAUCAGAACAAACAUCAGAUUACAAAGUUUUAUGCCCUCAAUCACAGCUCCAAGGUGUAUCUCUUAGAAUUCAGCUUACUGGAACACACUACUAGGAUAAGGUUAUUGGCAGCUUUUAAUGAGAUCUCUGUUGCAGAGGAAUUGUUGGUGAGGACCUACAAGCCCACAUGAGAUUCAGAUGUAUACAUAAAGAAGGUGUGAUGAACAGACAGUUCAGGAGCAAGGUUGUGUGCAGUUGCACCAUUUGGAAGAUGGCUCAAAUGGUGCUGCCCACCUGCAUAUUCAUGGGGCUAAAAAGAUCCAAUAAAAGCUUUGGAGGUGACAGAACAAAGCUAAAGAUCACCCCUCAGAGUCUUGGUGUCUCUUUGAAGAGCAUGGGCAUGAUAAACGAAUGGCUUGCGGAUCCUCUCCACUUGCUUGGACAUGGAUUUGCAGCGGCACUCUCUGCAGGCAAUGCAAGAUUUCCCCAGCCAUCCGACUCAGAUAUCUCGCCCAUUGUGGUGGUACCUCAUCUGCAGUAGCAACUCAGCGUAGCAACCAAGGAAAGCAUCCAUCCACCAACAAAAGAUGAAUGAUUGAUCUGAUGCCAAGCAGUGUUUGUUGUCUUCGAGUGAGAUGUUCGAGUCACUCGAGCACUUCUCAUAGUUCUUUUAGGUGAGAGGAAAGUCGUACAAUGUGCUUUGCAAAUCUCCUCCGUGGAGAAGGUACGACUCCUCUCAUGGUAAGAUAUGAAGCAUCACCAAGUGCAGCUGUCAGAUGAUGGAAAAGCUCAAUCACAGUCUCGCCGAGUGCAUUCACCUCAUCACCUCAUUUUCCACAACAAUGCCGUAUUAAUCAAUCCGUUCGGUGGAUGUUAAUUGACAAGCACAAAUUCCAGUGCCACUAAGAUGCUUCUUCAUUCUCCUUUUUGUACAAGUGGGUGUCUUUUCCACAGAGUGACUUCAGUUUCUUCGAUGACAAUCCACUUUAGGCAUCUCUGAUGUCCUCCGCAAGAGGUUUUCUUUC